rnacentral:ribozyme from 1 species
GAUGAUGCCGUUUACAUAUUUUCCGUGAGCAUUGAAAGUCAGCUGUUAACCUAUGGGUUCAUGUGAAGUGUUGUAGACUACCAUUCAGUUUGAUAGACUUGGUAUCGUUCUUUCCAGUGAACUUGCAUUUAUCGCAUC